UAGGGAAUCUUCGGCAAUGGGGGGAACCCUGACCGAGCAACGCCGCGUGAGUGAAGAAGGUUUUCGGAUCGUAAAGCUCUGUUGUUAAGGAAGAACGAGUGUGAGAAUGGAAAGUUCAUGCUGUGACGGUACUUAACCAGAAAGGGACGGCUAACUACGUGCCAGCAGCCGCGGUAAUACGUAGGUGGCAAGCGUUAUCCGGAAUUAUUGGGCGUAAAGCGCGCGUAGGCGGUUUUUUAAGUCUGAUGUGAAAGCCCACGGCUCAACCGUGGAGGGUCAUUGGAAACUGGAAAACUUGAGUGCAGAAGAGGAAAGUGGAAUUCCAUGUGUAGCGGUGAAAUGCGCAGAGAUAUGGAGGAACACCGGUGGCGAAAGCGGCUCUCUGGUCUGUAACUGACGCUGAGGCUCGAAAGCGUGGGGAGCGAACAGG
rnacentral:rRNA from 1 species